GGCGUGGUAGCUCAGCUGGUUAGAGCGCAGCACUCAUAAUGCUGAGGUCGGCGGAUCGUGCCCGCCCCCACGCUA
rnacentral:tRNA from 1 species